rnacentral:rRNA from 1 species
UACGUAGGGGGGCAAGCGUUGUCCGGAUUUAUUGGGCGUAAAGAGCGUGUAGGCGGCUAGAUAGGUCCGUUGUGAAAACUCGAGGCUCAACCUCGAGACGCCGAUGGAAACCAUCCAGCUAGAGUCCGGAAGAGGAGAGUGGAAUUCCUGGUGUAGCGGUGAAAUGCGCAGAUAUCAGGAAGAACACCCGUGGCGAAAGCGGCUCUCUGGGACGGUACUGACGCUGAGACGCGAAAGCGUGGGGAGCGAACAGG